rnacentral:rRNA from 1 species
GAGUGAACGCUGGCGGUAGGCCUAACACAUGCAAGUCGAACGGCAGCACAGUAAGAGCUUGCUCUUACGGGUGGCGAGUGGCGGACGGGUGAGGAAUACAUCGGAAUCUACUUUUUCGUGGGGGAUAACGUAGGGAAACUUACGCUAAUACCGCAUACGACCUACGGGUGAAAGCAGGGGAUCUUCGGACCUUGCGCGAUUGAAUGAGCCGAUGUCGGAUUAGCUAGUUGGCGGGGUAAAGGCCCACCAAGGCGACGAUCCGUAGCUGGUCUGAGAGGAUGAUCAGCCACACUGGAACUGAGACACGGUCCAGACUCCUACGGGAGGCAGCAGUGGGGAAUAUUGGACAAUGGGCGCAAGCCUGAUCCAGCCAUACCGCGUGGGUGAAGAAGGCCUUCGGGUUGUAAAGCCCUUUGUUGGGAAAGAAAAGCAGCAGGUUAAUACCCCGCUGUUCUGACGGUACCCAAAGAAUAAGCACCGGCUAACUUCGUG